AGGGGGGGAGCUAAACCAGCAAGAACUGCUAACUCAUGCAUCCGAGCUUCAAACCUCGGCCCCCUU
rnacentral:tRNA from 1 species